ACCUGGCUGGCUCAGUCAGGAGAGCAUGAGACUCUUAAUCUCAGGGUUUUGAGUUCGAAACCCAUAUUGGGUG
rnacentral:tRNA from 1 species